rnacentral:rRNA from 1 species
UACGUAGGAGGCGAGCGUUGUUCGGAGUUACUGGGCGUAAAGCGCGCGUAGGCGGCUUGUUAAGUUGGAUGUGAAAUCCCCGGGCUCAACCUGGGAACUGCAUCCAAAACUGGCAAGCUGGAGUAUGGUAGAGGGUGGUGGAAUUUCCUGUGUAGCGGUGAAAUGCGUAGAUAUAGGAAGGAACACCAGUGGCGAAGGCGACCACCUGGACUGAUACUGACACUGAAGUGCGAAGGCGUGGGGAGCAAACAGG